rnacentral:rRNA from 1 species
GAUGAACGCUGGCGGCGUGCCUAAUACAUGCAAGUCGAGCGAACAGACGAGAGUGCUUGCACUCUCUGACGUUAGCGCCGGACGGGUGAGUAACACGUGGGUAACCUACCUAUAAGACUGGGAUAACUUCGGGAAACCGGAGCUAAUACCGGAUAAUAUUUAGCUUCGCAUGAAGCAAUAGUGAAAGACGGUUCUGCUGUCACUUAUAGAUGGACCCGCGGUGUAUUAGCUAGUUGGUGAGGUAACGGCUCACCAAGGCAACGAUACAUAGCCGACCUGAGAGGGUGAUCGGCCACACUGGGACUGAGACACGGCCCAGACUCCUACGGGAGGCAGCAGUAGGGAAUCUUCCGCAAUGGACGAAAGUCUGACGGAGCAAUGCCGCGUGAGUGAAGAAGGUUUUCGGAUCGUAAAACUCUGUUGUAAGGGAAGAACAAGUACGUUAGUAACUGAACGUACCUUGACGGUACCUUACCAGAAAGCCACGGCUAACUACGUG